AAUCUUCACCGCGGUGAUAUUCCCUGCAUCCUCAUCGCUCUUGGCCUAUAAGCUUCGAUUUUUGUUGUUGUUGUUGUUUUGGUGCAAUUAGUCGAAUGUAUUUGUCUGUUUGCUUUGGUUUUUAUAUUUUUGCUCUAUAUUCGAGCAGAAUGCUUCAAUCCAUAUGCUGAAAAUUGUUGCAGUGUUUCUUCAUAGGUUAUAGGCUUAGGGCUUUUGCCCAAAUUUAUUUCAUGCUUAGAUAAUCUGUGAGAUUUCCCUAGCCCCUAUGGAUAAAAUCGGAAUUUAGUUUUGUGAGGAUUCCCUCAACUCCACUUUUCAUUGUGCUCUAUUCAGAUUCCCUCAACUUUUUAUAGUGUUGGUGAUGACUUUAGAGAGGAUGAUUGUAGUAGCUGGCUGGUUCCCAUCUGAUCCAGGAAAUCUUGGCAUGUUGCUUAGAUCAGCAUUGACAUUUAGAUGG